rnacentral:rRNA from 1 species
GUCCACGCCGUAACGAUGGGUGCUAGGUGUGGGCAGUGUCGACUCUGUCUGUGCCGAAGCUAACGCAUUAAGCACCCGCCUGGGAGUACGGCCGCAAGGCUAAACUCAAAGGAAUUGACGGGGCCCGCACAAGCAGCGGAGCAUGUGGUUUAAUUCGAUGCAACGCGAAGAACCUUACCAGGGCUUGACAUGCACGGGAAUGUCGUAGAGAUACGGCAGCCCUUCGGGGCUCGUGUGCAGGUGGUGCAUGGCUGUCGU